rnacentral:rRNA from 1 species
AGAGUUUGAUCCUGGCUCAGGAUGAACGCUAGCGGCAGGCUUAACACAUGCAAGUCGAGGGGCAGCAUAAUGGAUAGCAAUAUCUAUGGUGGCGACCGGCGCACGGGUGCGUAACGCGUAUGCAACCUACCUUUAACAGGGGGAUAACACUGAGAAAUUGGUACUAAUACCCCAUAAUAUCAUAGAAGGCAUCUUUUAUGGUUGAAAAUUCCGAUGGUUAGAGAUGGGCAUGCGUUGUAUUAGCUAGUUGGUGGGGUAACGGCUCACCAAGGCGACGAUACAGUAGGGGACUGAGAGGUUAACCCCCCACACUGGUACUGAGACACGGACCAGACUCCUACGGGAGGCAGCA